AGUGAACGCUGGCGGUAGGCCUAACACAUGCAAGUCGAACGGCAGCACAGUAAGAGCUUGCUCUUACGGGUGGCGAGUGGCGGACGGGUGAGGAAUACAUCGGAAUCUACUUUUUCGUGGGGGAUAACGUAGGGAGACUUACGCUAAUACCGCAUACGACCUACGGGUGAAAGCAGGGGAUCUUCGGACCUUGCGCGAUUGAAUGAGCCGAUGUCGGAUUAGCUAGUUGGCGGGGUAAAGGCCCACCAAGGCGACGAUCCGUAGCUGGUCUGAGAGGAUGAUCAGCCACACUGGAACUGUGACACGGUCCAGACUCCUACGGGAGGCAGCAGUGGGGAAUAUUGGACAAUGGGCGCAAGCCUGAUCCAGCCAUACCGCGUGGGUGAAGAAGGCCUUCGGGUUGUAAAGCCCUUUUGUUGGGAAAGAAAAGCAGCAGGUUAAUACCCCGCUGUUCUGACGGUACCCAAAGAAUAAGCACCGGCUAACUUCGUG
rnacentral:rRNA from 1 species